UUCCUAAGGUGGAAGAAUAUAUCACAGGUUUUUUUUGAGAACUUAAGGAUGACAUAUUACAGAUUUGAGACCUUGUUUUCUUCCUGAUACAAGCAUUUUAUGCUAUAAAUUUUACUCUAAAUCCUACUUUCUUGCUUCAGUCUAUGAAUUUUGAUAUGUUAUUAUGCUAGUUAUUAAUUGAUUCUCAUCUCACAGCCAUCCAUUUUUGUCCUGCUUUGGGAAACUGAAAACAAACCCUGUAAAAAUUUCCCUUUAGACAGCUGCUCAAUGUUAGCUUUAGUGGGUGCUGGGGGAUCACUGCAAGACAAAGCAAAGGAAGAGGUUUCUUUCUGGUGUGAUUUUUCGUUUUCUCCCGCAGUAACCAGUGAUGUGCAGGCGGCUCCACAAUACUCAGUCAUCAGUGAGUUUCUCCAGCAGUUCAGAGGGCUGCUUCUGGUGGAAGAGCUCCAGGAAGACAGCACUACAUGAGGAUGAUAGGGAAAUGUUAGUAAUUUUUGUUUCUUUGUUUGUUUGUUUGUUUUGAAACAGAGUCUGGUUCUGUUGCCCAGGCUGGAGUGCAAUGGUUUGAUCUCGGCUCACUGCAACCUCCGCCUUCCGGGUUGAAGCGAUUCUCCUAUCUCAGUUUCCAAAUAGCUGGGAUUACAGGCACCCACCAUGAGGGCCUCUUUCUGCUUAGUGGCCGUGGCCCUCCAUUAUUUCAGCAAUGGAUUGUUUCUUCGGACCACCUUUGACCAGCCUGUCACUUCAUGGACACCCUGCAGGGAGUUUCCAUAGAACAGCUCCAGCCGACCCGACCCUCUACUGAAUUUUCCAGAUACCCAGUGGAUUCCUCUUAUGAAUGAGCUCUGGCUGCAACCUCUGGCAAGUUUGUUGGCCAUAGUCUACAGGUAUUUGAAAGCAUGAACCUUGCACUGAUUCAAGUAAGAAGACAUUCGGGAGAGGUCCAAACAUCAGAUUUUCUUACACAGAGUGGAGAAGGAACAGUUUUUCCAUUUCCCUGGAAAGAAUUGAGUGAAGUUGACAGCAGGAUUGCAGAAGUGGGAGCACCCAAGUUUCAUGAAAACAGGAAUUAAAUCAACUUGAGAAGUUUUCCAAGAAUAUAAAAUAAAACAAAUAGAUGAAAGUGAUGAAAGAAAAUAUAAAAGAUAUAGAGGACAGAAGAUACACAUCUAAUAUAAGGAUUCUGGGCUUUUCUUCUGGACAAGAAAUCAAAAUAACAGGAAGAGAAGAAAUAACAUAAUUACAGAAAAUUUUGUGGAGCUGAAAAAUGUUUACUUAUGAAACUGGAAAACCUCAGCAAAUUCUUGGCAAUACUAAUAAAAAAGAAUUUGCAUGUUAUUUGGGUAAAAAUAUAAGACAGCAAGAAGAAACAAAAAACAGGCUGGAUUUUCAUUUUUCUGCCAUAAUUAUACUUUUUCAAGGAGAAAUGUUGAGAUAUAAGCAUUUUUUUUUCACAAACUAGUUUUUCCUAUGUGAAAGCAAUAGAAAACUAUCAUCAGAUAGGCAAGGGUUUUUUCACAAACUAGUUUUUCCUAUGUGAAAGCAAUAGAAAACUAUCAUCAGAUAGGCAAGGGUUCAGAAAAUAUGUUAUAAACAUUUUGAAAAAAAUGUCCUAAGAUGUAGUUCACCUUAACUGUGCUAUGAAUGAAAAUAAAUGCUCAAAAUAGGAUGAGUAAUGACAGCAGGUGGUCCAUCUGAAGAAGCCGCUACAGGAACACCAGCUGCAGCAGGGGAGGUGUGGGCCAGGGCUGCAUACUCAGUGGAGCUGGCAGGCCAGAAACAACUGAAUUGUUGGGGCGAGAACCCUGCCCUCCCAGCUGCAGCUGCAGCCACCCAGCCACAGCUGCAGACUGGGCAUCUGUGUACUCCCAGGGACCCAGAAAGGCCCCCAUCCCCUCAGGCUCAAUAGUGCCUGCUUCCACUCUCUGGCCUCUCCCUGCUCUUGGCACCCACUCCAAUUUUGGAGCAAAAUUGAGGUCAGUCCAGGUGCUAUCAUGAUCUGACCAGGUGUACCUGUGCUUAGGGCAGUGCUGACAUGCCAGCCCCCUUCCACCUGGGACCCCUCUGGACUUUGGGCACUGAUAAGCAUGGGAGGAAGGCUGAGGGGGUGCUGAGGGCAGCUCAGCGUGGGCCUACAGGUGCCCCUCACCACAAACAGCCUGGGUGCCAUGUGCAUCAUGGAUGGCAGGUUGAUGGCAACAGGAGGCAGGCAGGCUCCUGGGCAGAAAGGGGCAAGUCCCUAGUCAAACCCCACCUUCAAGCCAGGAAUGACCUGAAGCCAAGUGGCCAGACUGCCAGUUUCAUGGACUGGAGUGAGAGCUUAUGGUGCUUUUUCCGGGCUGCCCAUAGCUGCCCAGGAACCAAUCAGCAUGCAUUUUCUCCCUUCUGAGCCUAUAAAAACCCCAGACUUAGCCAGACUUGGACAGAGAUCAGGACUACCAGCUGGGGGAAGGAGUUACCUACUUUGGGUUUCCUUGACUCAUCAGGACCAACUGCCUGUGGAAAGGUGCUAGAAGCUACUGACUAGAGGUCUCCUGUGUGCUCAGAGCUGGACACUCUUUGGGACAACCUGCCUGUGGAAAGAAGCUACCCACUUCAGGUCUCCUGAGAGCUGUUCUGUUCCUCAAUGAAGCUCCUCUCUGCCUUGCUCACCCUCCAGUUGUCUGCAGAACUUAUUCUUCCUGGAUGUGGGACAGGCUGCAGAUGAUAAGGAGAGAAGAGAAGAGCUGUAGCCCUUUAGGGAUCCCAGACCUUAGGGGCUCUUCAGGUGUGGGAUCUGGACCAGAAGCAUGAGCCAACUGCAGCCUGCCGGGCUGAGUGGGCAGAAGGAGCCCAGCAGGUGUGAACAAUACUCAGGCAGAAAGCACUGCCAGCCACAGAGGUUUCCAGUUGGCAAAGCAACACCCCAAGGAUCCCAUGACAGUAAUAUUAUAAAAGGUGAUAGAUGAACCUACAAGACUAUCGCCAGCUAUGAUGCACUGUUAUCACAAAAGUUGUAACGAUUUGUACCUCAGAGUCACAAAUGUUUUAAAUGACUACCAAAAUGAAUUUUAGGAAAGUAUAUAGCAUGGUAAUGGCUUUCAUAGUGGUACCAGGAUAAAAAUUAAAACACAAUUGUAAGUUUUUAAAUUUAUUAUUGAAAUAAACUGGUGAUUUGGUGCGGUUAUUCCCAAUGUAACAGAAAUGUCUCUGUUAAACUGUAUCUCCAGAUUUAUGAUUUCUACUAAAUAAUAUUAUUAAAUAAUAUUACAACUAUCUAUUUUUUUAGUGCUGUAAUAGAGACUGUUUUGCUCAGGAAAUCCAUGAUAACCUUUUCUUAGUCUCACAGCAAGACUGUAGUUUCCAGGUUCCUUGCUUUAGGUAUUGCCACAUGACUGGGUUCCAGAAUAAAUAGAAUAUUCUGGAGCCUGUACUGGUAUACAGCAGUUCCAUGUCUGACCUAUAUAGAACAUGCAGUCCUCACUUUCUUUACUCACCUACUGGCUGAAUUGAGAGGAAUCUAAGCAUAUAGAAGAUGACAGAGCCUCAAGAUGUAAAGAAACUUUGUCACUGAAUGACUGUGUAGAACAGAGUCCCUCAUUCGACUGUAAAUUGUUGAAAGUUAAGCCACUGAAAUUAUGGAAUUACUUGUUAAAGUUUUCGUUUAUUCUUAUAAAUACAAACACCUGAAAAAAAAUCAAUAAAAGUAAGAUACCAAGGUGUCAUGGUUGUGGGGGGGUUUUUAUGCUUUUCUUCUUUCCAUUUGUUCUCUAUAUUCCAUAGUUCCUUUUAUUAGUAAUUUAAGUGAAAAAGUCUAGAGUCUUGCAUAUGGUAAUAAACUAUAUUUAUUUUAUAUCA